UACGAAGGGGGCUAGCGUUGUUCGGAAUCACUGGGCGUAAAGCGCACGUAGGUCGGAUCGAUCAGUCAGGGGUGAAAUCCCAGGGCUCAACCCUGGAACUGCCUUUGAUACUGUCGAUCUGGAGUAUGGAAGAGGUGAGUGGAAUUCCGAGUGUAGAGGUGAAAUUCGUAGAUAUUCGGAGGAACACCAGUGGCGAAGGCGGCUCACUGGUCCAUUACUGACGCUGAGGUGCGAAAGCCAGGGGAGCAAACAGG
rnacentral:rRNA from 1 species